ACUGUCUCCUUCACAACUAAGAUCAGGAUUUGUGAUUAGUUAAGCUGACCGAGAUAGGAAUCGAGGCGAGGCCUAGGAAGGGGGGACUGGGACGCCCCGAGCCUUCAAAUGGCAAACUGUGUCACCUUCCCAUGGCUCCUCAUCACCUCUGCGCCUCACCCUCCACACACCACUUAAUCGCUCUCUCAAGUUCCAAAGCGAAUUAAAACUCAGAGACUAGGGACGGAGUCUUUCCAUCACACCCUUUCUCUUGCUUCCCUGGGGGAUGAGGGUGGCCUGGAGGAACAAUAGCUUCCCUUAGCCCCUUCCUCCUGCCUCAGGUUAGAAAAGGCAGUAGGGGAGGUGGCAAGCAGAGUGGAGGUGACAAAGACCCCUGGCCACACAGGCAUUGGAAGGAAGAAGGAGGGGCUUUGUCAGAGUGGGUUGUUAUUUUGGUGGUGGUGGUGGUAGUGUCUCCAGAGAGGGGCAGCACCCCCUUUUUGCUGCCUUUCCAGGGAGAGCAGCAAGAGAAAGAAAGAGAGAGGCAAACGAAAUUCCUGAAUGGAUAGACAGAUGCUACGUCAUCGGAGCUGCAUCCUCCACUCCACAAGAGGCUAGGAGCCGGGGGGAGAAAGGCAGUCCAGCCGCAGGGGCCACCCGAACAGUCUCUCCUCCUCACAGAAGCCUGGAGCUGGGCAUCCAAGAAGGAGCCGCCUCAUUUGUUUCUGGUGUCAUCGUAGGUGGCCACCUAUGGCUUCUGGGCUUCUCACCCAGGGCGGGUGGGUGCUCCACCCUCCACCACCCUACCGCCCUCCUUCCGCUGUGUGGAUGACAGAGCCACAUCCAGCACCACGGACAGCUCCCGGGCGCCCUCAUCUCGUCCUCCGGGCAGCACAAGCCGCUGUGGAAUCUCCACAGAGGGCACACAAUGGUGCCUCCGCAUCCUGCCACUCAGGACCUCUCAAGUCCCCGAUAUGAUGGCUCCUUGGCAUCGUCAGGAGAAACUCCAUGAUCUUCGUAUUCCCGUCUUGGGAAGUCCUUCUCAAUAUCUAACCAAGAUCUACACGGCUGUAGCACCAGCCCUUCGGCCCUUGGCUUGGCCUGGCUGAGUUGAGAGAUCCUUAGACGCUUGGAGAAGCCGAGGGAGGUGAACUUUGGGGUUUCCAAAGCUGCUGGCUCCCAACCCUGGAUGGGACAGGAAAGGAAGGCUGUUCCCACAAGCUGUGCCUGACACCUGAUUCCUGUACAGCCCCUACGGGGUUUAUCUGCCUUUCCUGGACAUAGCUUCCCCACCCCGGGAAGGAAGGAGCUGACCCUGAUUUGCACCUAUUUGGUUGUGUAAGCCCUUUCAUAGCCAUUGUCUCAGCCAAUCUUCCCAACGGCCCUGAAAACCGGGUGAUACUGUCCCCACUUCAUGAAGGAGGAAUGGAAGCCUCAGGAAGGCUAAGACUCUCCCAGAGUCACAGGUCUGACCAAAAAGAAAACUUACUUCACCCACUUGGAUUCCCUCUGAGAAGCCGUCCCAAUUGUCCAAAAGAUGAGGCUAGGCUCUAGCAAGUCAAAGUCGAGCCAGCUCCUUCAAGAAGCUUUGAGCAGAAUCAAAGUGGGAAGGACCCAGCUUCCAGCCCAGGCAGCCCAUUGUACCUGGAGCCGUCUGGGAUAGGACUUUGAUCCAUGACUCUCAUAUUCUCAACCUGUCCAUCUUGGCUCAUCCCAGUUUAUCCUGUAUCAUUUGAGCUAGGAUUCCCACAUUCUCUAAGAUGGAAGUCCCAUCUCAAGUCUUCAAUAAAGACUCUUGAAUAUUGAAUUACA